GAAAAUGAGAAAAAACAAACCCUGACACAAAAAAUGAAAAAGAAAGUCUCCUCAUCACAAGACGCUCUUCCUUUCUCUCUUUCUCUCCCUCCCUCUUCUUCUUUUUCUUCCUCUUCUCUUUCUUCU
rnacentral:ribozyme from 13 species